UUGCUUCAGCACCACAUGUACUAAAAUUGAAACAAUACAGCCCCUACACAAGGAUGACAUGCAAAUUGGUGAAGUAUUCCAUAUUGUU
rnacentral:snRNA from 1 species